UACGGGGGGAGCAAGCGUUGUUCGGAUUUACUGGGCGUAAAGGGCGCGUAGGCGGCCAGCGCAAGUCAGUUGUGAAAUCUCCGAGCUUAACUCGGAAAGGUCAACUGAUACUGCGCGGCUAGAGUGCAGAAGGGGCAACUGGAAUUCUUGGUGUAGCGGUGAAAUGCGUAGAUAUCAAGAGGAACACCUGCGGCGAAGGCGGGUUGCUGGGCUGACACUGACGCUGAGGCGCGAAAGCCAGGGGAGCGAACGGG
rnacentral:rRNA from 1 species